CUUCGUUCUCCCGUUUACUUGGAGGAUUGGACUCAAAUUUCAAAGUUGAAAAGAUAUCCUGGUGGCUAGUCCCCGAAGAGAUUGAUGCUCUUGUUGGGUCGAAUGUAGACCCGCGCUCGGAUUCCCGAUUGGUACGAUCGACGAAUUUUUUCUUCUCUCGCUUCAUGUCAUCAAUCCAUUUAUCUAGACAACUUUGGAUGUACUUCGGCUUCUUCGACCGAUCAAUUUUGGGUUGUGUGAUUGUCCGUUGUGUAGGUCUAAUUUGUUCGCGCCAUGGUUCAACAGGUGAAUGAUCGAGUUCAGACUCUGGGUGGGGUUCAUCCCAGAAGUUAAAACACUUUUCUGAUGUAAAGUCUUCAAAGAAUUUGGGAUCCAAUCGCAAAGCAGGCCCACACAGAGGAGGGUUAGAAGCGAUGUGUUCAUCACUCGGUGGACGAUCACCGAGUAGAUCCAAUCCAAGAAUACGGUCAGGAGGAGAGCAAAACAAGUCUCCGUGCUCGCUGUUUGCGAGGCCAUCAGAGAUGUCUAGGUCAAAGUCACCAUAUUCGUCAAAAGCUGGUGAGAGAGAAGGGAAAAUGUCCUGAUGUGUUUCUUCCGAAUGCAUGGUACUUCCUGGCCAUUGUUCUUCCGUUAGUCUUCCAUUGUCGUAAUGUAAUUUGAACAGCUUCAAGCUUUCCUUAGGCACCCCAAAGUCUUGAAGAGAUCUUGCCAUAUCAUCGUGCGACCAGAGCACAAACUUUGAAAGAGGAACACCGAGGCAGAGGAUGGCGUGUGCGGUCAAUGGAUUAAUCGAGGGAAAUUGAUCAAGAAACAGUUCGCCAUCGGUCAUGCAUUCUGGCAUCGGGAAUGAAUAUGGUUUCUUAGCCUCCUGCCGAACUCUUUCAAUGCACGUCAAGACGAGAUCUUCAGUACACUGCGGAUUGCCCGACACGAAGCAGUGCACUUGCAUACCAAACCCCGCAGCAGCUUCGGCCAACUUUGGUGUGCUUCUGAGGACAGACGAGGUGAAUGCUGGUUCUCCUUCAAAAAUCUGCAACAUGUGACUUGUUUAACAUGAAUGGAAGACCGAGAAAAAAUUGCGUACCACAUCUACACUAAAGUUAUUUUCUGAUUCAUGCAGCUGAUGCGUUCGGAAUCACGUGAAACAUUUAUUUAAUCUGUAGUCAUAAUGGUUUUUCCUUUUUUGGCACAAGCCACGAACUUGUGAGUAGUGAUGAUUAGUUGUUGUGCUGGAACUUGUUGAACAGUUAAGAAUAAUGUUGAGCACUGUUAACAUCUCCAGUGCAUUAAAUGAAGCGGCAGAACAGCUCACCACGAAGCAAUUUUCGAAAGAGUAGCUCAUGGCCUUCAUGUGACAGUUGAUAAUGAUGGCAUCAAUAAAGGCAGAAAUUUCCUUGAAAGCGUGACCGGAAUUUUUCCUCCAAUUAAUC
rnacentral:lncRNA from 1 species